ACUAGUGCUAGCCCAUACAAUUUUAACCAUAUUCAACUACAUACACACCACUUGAACAAAACAUUUACCUCUAUAAAAGUAUAGGAGAUAGAAAUUCUUAANNUUGGAGCUAUAGAGCUAGUACCGCAAGGGAAAGAUGAAAGAAUAAACUCAUAGUAAAACAAAGCAAAGAUUAACCCUUUUACCUUUUGCAUAAUGAAUUAACUAGAAAUAACUUCGCAAAAUGAAUUUAAGUCAAGAACCCCGAAACCAGACGAGCUACUUACGGGCAGCUAUAAGAGCCAAUCCAUCUAUGUAGCAAAAUAGUGGAAAGACCUUUAAGUAGUGGUGAAAAGCCUACCGAGCCUGGUGAUAGCUGGUUAUCCAGAUAAGAAUUUCAGUUCAACUUUAAAUUUACUUAAAGAACCUAUAAUCUAAACGUAAAUUUAAUUGUUAAUCUAAAGAGGGACAGCUCUUUAGAUACAGGAAACAACCUUCAUUAGAGAGUAAGAYCUAAAUAARUMCCAUAGUAGGCUUAAAAGCAGCCAUCAAUUAAAAAAGCGUUCAAGCUUAACCAAACAWAMUYAACUUAAUYUAAAUAUUUAUAAUCACCUCCUAAUAUUAUACUGGAUUAAUCUAUUAUUAMUUAUAGAAGCAAUAAUGUUARUAUGAGUAACAAGAAAAAUUUUCUCCCUGCAUAAGUUUAUAUCAGCUCGAAUGAAUCACUGAUAGUUAACAAAUCUAUAAUWCAACCCACCGACAUUAAUCCUUAUUAUUCAUAAUGUUAAUCCAACACCGGUAUGCACUWYAAGGGAAAGAUUAAAAGAAGUAAAAGGAACUCGGCAAACACUNAACCCCGCCUGUUUACCAAAAACAUCACCUCYAGCAUAAAUAGUAUUAGAGGCACUGCCUGCCCAGUGACACAUGUUAAACGGCCGCGGUAUCCUGACCGUGCAAAGGUAGCAUAAUCAUUUGUUCCUUAAAUAGGGACUUGUAUGAAYGGCYARACGAGGGUUWAUCUGUCUCUUACUUYCAAUCAGUGAAAUUGACCUUCCCGUGAAGAGGCGGGAAUARACUAWAAUAAGACGAGAAGACCCUAUGGAGCUUAAAUYUAUUARCCCAAGCAACUAUCAUAACCAAAUCUACAAGAUUUAAUCCCUUUGCYUAUGGRUUAAAAAUUUUGGUUGGGGUGACCUCGGAGCAUAACUWAACCUCCGAAUGAUUUUARUCCAGACUUUAACCUGUCUACACUUUAAUUCAUUAAUUGACCCAAACUUUUGAUCAACGGAACAAGUUACCCUAGGGAUAACAGCGCAAUCCUACUCAAGAGUCCAUAUCGACAGUUAGGGUUUACGACCUCGAUGUUGGAUCAGGACAUCCYAAUGGUGCAACCGCUAUUAAAGGUUCGUUUGUUCAACGAUUAAAGUCCUACGUGAUCUGAGUUCAGACCGGAGWAAUCCAGGUCGGUUUCUAUCUAUUAMAUAUUUCUCCCAGUACGAAAGGACMAGAGAAAUAAGGCCAAUCUCUAUAAYACGCCUUACAGACAAUAGAUGAUAUAAUCUUAAUCUAACAAACUAUAUCCACUCCUACCCUAGAACAGGGUUA
rnacentral:rRNA from 1 species